GGCUGAAAUGCAAGUAAACAGGAGAGCUGUCACUAAAACAUACAGACAGCUCACUCCACCAAGAUUCAGAGAUAUUUCAACCCUCUAACCAGGCAAAGAGGGGUAAAUAACUACAAAACAGAUACUAAAGAAUACAAUUACAGGUGGAAUGAUUGAGGAAGAAUAGUCAAAUGCGAUGAAAAGGUACAAAGAUGGCCAUUCAGUGAGACAGCAGGAGGAACAAAGAGAAAGAAGGGCAAUGAGGUAGAAGAAUGAGAUGGUGGCGGAAUAUGACCGAGAGGAGAAUGGGAUAGUAAGUAAUAAGAGUGAGAGAAUGGAACAUAAGAGGAAGUACAACGGGGUAGCGGGGAAGCUAAUGGAAAGAGGAAAUUGUAUUAAAAAUAGCUAGCAACUGGAGGGAGAAAAAAAAAACACUAGCAAUUGUUAAACUUCAAUUAACUUUUAC